rnacentral:rRNA from 1 species
UCCCCUACGGGGCGCAGCAGUGAGGAAUAUUGGUCAAUGGGAGAGAUCCUGAACCAGCCAAGCCGCGUGAGGGAAGACGGCCCUAUGGGUUGUAAACCUCUUUUGUCGGAGAACAAAACCCGGGACGAGUCCCGGACUGCGUGUAUCCGAAGAAAAAGCAUCGGCUAACUCCGUGCCAGCAGCCGCGGUAAUACGGAGGAUGCGAGCGUUAUCCGGAUUUAUUGGGUUUAAAGGGUGCGUAGGCGGUCCGUUAAGUCAGCGGUAAAAUUGAGAGGCUCAACCUCUUCGAGUCGUUGAAACUGGUU